CAAGCCCUAACCUAUGGCAGCACCCCUCACUACCUCUCCUGUCUGGAUGCAGGUUUGGAACAGGGACACAGUGCUAAGGAGAGCAGAAAUGGAAUUCCAUCCCAUUUCCUCCUGGGCUCCUGGCAACGCCUGGCCUGAUGUGUUCAUCUCUCACUAGAAAAUCAGAGAAGCAGCACUGGAGACUCACUUGAACAGCAAGCUCAGCAGGAACGGGAGGCUUGGAGCUCUGCCUCACCCAGGAAAAAGCCCUUUUUUUUGGAGGUGAUGGGGUUCCUGCUGAGGCAAAUCUAGCAGGAGUCAUGAAACACAAAAUGUUUCAUCAAACCUUUGCCUGUGAUGAGGAGAAGCCCUGGCUUUUCGUUGGUGCUGGUGUCAGGUGGGAUGGAUGAGCCCACCACAUCUCGACUCAUGUGAGCAGGGCUGAACUGGUCUACUGCUUUCUAAUCCUUGACUCACAGCUCACAAGAAGACCUUAGAAGAGGUUCAAAAUUCUUCUUCCAUCACAGACUGGGGAAAAUGGAGCUGAAAUGGCAAAUCACUGUAUCUGUCCUCCAAGUGCAAGGCCAAAUUAGCUGUGCAUAAGACCUCCUGACAGAUUGGCAUUUGAAAAUACCCAUGAUGGAGAAGAUACACUAGGACAACUCCAGUUUUAAUGUCUGUACUACCAGAAAGAUUUUCCACAAAAGUCAGCAUACUCCUCACGUGCUCAUCUGUUACACCCAUAGUGUACCCACAGAAAAGUCUGCUCCUCUCUCUAAUCCAGCUAAGAGUUUGACAGCCAUUUCUAUGCAUCUCAAGUUCCAGUCACUGAUCCAAGACAUAUUCUGACUGCUGUGAUGUUAUGGGAAAGGAAAAGAGCUUUCUAUCUCCUCGCUCUCUUUAGCACAUCAAUCAUAAAUUGAUCCCAUCCUUAUCUUGGUACAUGCAAAUAAUUUACUCCCUUUUGGUUGUUCAUUUCUUCCUUCACUCUCCUGAGCUUUGUGUUCACUAAACUGAAUCAUUGUAGGGAAAAUGGGAACUCCAUUCAUGGAAAUAAUAAUAAUUUGACCGAGCAAGACCCUGAGCAAUUUGUUUUAAUGAAAAAAGCCUCCUUUGAGCAGAGAGCUUGACCAGAUGACCUUCAGAUGUCACUUUCAGACUAAACUAUUCCAUGAUUAAUAUUUGUAGGUUGGAACAUUUAGGAAGAAUGUCAAAAUUAGCCUUUCCAAAAGUAUCAUCUGCUCCACAUUAAUUGUCAAGCAACAGAUUUCGUGUAACAUCCUUCUCUUCUACCCAUGAUGGAUGAAUCAUUAUCUCAUUGUGAGGGAAAGGUGUGACUCUUUAAAUAACCUAAUGCAGUGGCAGUUCUUUGCUGAAUAAGUAUGUCCUGAGGUUUAAUUGGGGAGGGAAUUAUACCUCCUUUUUCCUCAUUUGAACCUCGUCACAAAGUCUCUGUUUUUGAUUACCUAUUCUGAUUGAUUGCCACUGGGAUUUUGCAUUUCCCAUUUAAAAAAAAAAAAUUCCUUCCUCCUCACAGGGGCUGCUCUGCUCACAGAUAUUCACAUAUUUAAGCAUUCUCAUCUACUGGCAUCAGCAUUAGCCAGCAUGAGUUUUCUCCUCUCAGCUUUGUGCUUUCCAGAGGCUAAGAACACAGCAGGAAUGAUGGCUCUUGCUCUCCUGGGUGACUGAGUCACUGGUCCAACUAAAUGAAACUCCAUUAAUUAUGAAGGAGUUAACAAUAAAUAAAUAAACUCUCAUCUGUGAAGAUUUGCUUUAUCAGGUUUAACCAUAACUAAUUGCUUCUUUAGUAAGUGUUGAAAUAAAUGAACAAAUUUUUAUGUUGCAGCAAGUGCACUUGAGUGUCUUUUAAAGGAACAGCUUUUUAUUGCUGAUUGCAUUUUAGUGGGUGAGCAUAUAAAUAAGAAACUUAUUAUCCAUCUAGGAGCUCUUGUAUCUUUCUUCUUAAACAUAAUUAUUGUAGUUCAAAGUCUUCUCUUUACUUCCAGUAAACAAUAUCACUCAGGAUUUUAAUGCACAAUCCACUCUUUUCCUACCCAUCAUGGGCACUGCAACGCAACAGAGGUGAGUGUUCUGCCAAAAAAUCUGCAUGCCUUGUCCAGUUGGGACCAAUCAGCUAUGAGUUAGAAAAUUAGAUCAGGAGCCAGUCAUGCCUCUGGAAAAGUCAUGUUCCUGAAGUGCAAGGUUCAGUCUCACUGCAGAUUGCCAGGAAAAAAUACAGGUCUAAGGUGUUUAUUGUAAGAAUGGAUUGGUCACAGAGUAUUUCGUGCACCCAGGGUAAACAAUGAAACACAGUGAUUGCAAUAUUGUGCUCUACAAAUUCCCCUGCAGUCUUAAGGCAGUAACCUCAUCAUGGCAGCACUGUCCUGAUGAAUAAAUCAUUUCAAUCACAGGACAGCCAUGAAGAAUCUCUCUCUGCUCUGCUAGAUGUAUGCUUAGCAAAGCAUCAUCUUUGACCACGAGCUUUCUGGUUUCUGUGUGCUAUUCACUGGUCUUUUGUUCUAAGAGGGGAUUAAUCAUGGACCACCACAUCUCUCACUGCUAAAUUAGCAUUAAGAAACCAUGAAAUAGCUCAAAGUACAACUGACAUCAUCUCUGUACUUCUCUCCAUAUAUGUACCAACAGAUCAAAAUAUUUAUAAUUUUUUAUUUGCGAUUUCUCUUAUGCAAGAAAUACUUUAAAAAUGUU